rnacentral:rRNA from 1 species
CAGCUAGUUGGUAGGGUAAUGGCCUACCAAGGCUAAGACGGGUAGCUGGUCUGAGAGGAUGAACAGCCACACUGGAACUGAGACACGGUCCAGACUCCUACGGGAGGCAGCAGUGGGGAAUCUUGCGCAAUGGGCGAAAGCCUGACGCAGCGACGCCGCGUGAGCGAUGAAGGCCUUCGGGUUGUAAAGCUCUGUGGGGAGGAAAGAAUAAGGGUUGGCUAAUAUCCAGCUCGAUGACGGUACCUCCUUAGCAAGCACCGGCUAACUCUGUGCCAGCAGCCGCGGUAAGACAGAGGGUGCAAACGUUGUUCGGAAUUACUGGGCGUAAAGCGCGUGUAGGCGGCUCUGUAAGUCGGGUGUGAAAUCCCACGGCUCAACCGUGGAAGUGCAUUCGAAACUACAGGGCUAGAGUCCUGGAGAGGAAGGUGGAAUGCUUGGUGUAGAGGUGAAAUUCGUAGAUAUCAAGCGGAACACCGGUGGCGAAGGCGGCCUUCUGGACAGUGACUGACGCUGAGACGCGAAAGCGUGGGGAGCAAACAGGAUUAG